GUGUUUGUAGCUUAAUUGGAGAAAGCAUUAGAUUACGAAUUUAGAGAGUGAAAGUUCAAAUCUUUCCAAACACA
rnacentral:tRNA from 1 species